GACCAACUAAGUUUGUUAUUGGUAUGAGCUUUCGUGUGCAUGCACACUUCUUCAGAUACACUGAAAUGCACACGAAAGCUCAUACCAAUAACAAACUUAGUUGGUC